UGGGGACGACUGUUGGACCGCCUCUGCUAAGAGGAGGAAGGAAUGGGCAACGGUAGGUCAGCAUGCCCCGAAUUAUCUGGGCUACACGCGGGCUACAAUGGUGGGACAAUGGGUAUCGACACCGAAAGGUGAAGGCAAUCUCCUAAACCCAUCCGUAGUUCGGAUUGUGGGCUGCAACUCGCCCACAUGAAGCUGGAAUCUGUAGUAAUCGUGUCUCAAAAAUGGCACGGUGAAUAUGUCCCUGCUCCUU
rnacentral:rRNA from 1 species